GUGGGGAAUCUUAGACAAUGGGGGAAACCCUGAUCUAGCCAUGCCGCGUGAUCGAUGAAGGCCUUAGGGUUGUAAAGAUCUUUCAGGUGGGAAGAUAAUGACUGUACCACCAGAAGAAGCCCCGGCUAACUCCGUGCCAGCAGCCGCGGUAAUACGGAGGGGGCUAGCGUUGUUCGGAAUUACUGGGCGUAAAGCGCACGUAGGCGGAUUGGAAAGUUGGGGGUGAAAUCCCGGGGCUCAACCCCGGAACUGCCUUCAAAACUCCCAGUCUUGAGUUCGAGAGAGGUGAGUGGAAUUCCGAGUGUAGAGGUGAAAUUCGUAGAUAUUCGGAGGAACACCAGUGGCGAAGGCGGCUCACUGGCUCGAUACUGACGCUGAGGUGCGAAAGCGUGGGGAGCAAACAGGAUUAGAAACCCGAGUAGUCC
rnacentral:rRNA from 1 species